AUGGCUCCUCCAAGCUUGACCAAGAACUCGGCCGAAGUAAUGGGGGUGGCGGAUGGGAAGAUCCCGUUCCCAUCCACGGUGACCCUUGAAGCUGGUAACUUCCUCGCCAACGGCCACCUGAUCCUGACCGAUGUCCCCAAGAACAUCAUGGCCACUCCAUCGCUGUUGAUCUCUGCGGGCAAGGCUAAGACCACCGUCGGAUGCUUCGUGGGGUUCAAUGCCGCUGAGCCGAUGAGCCGCCACGUGGUUCCCAUUGGCAGGCUUAGGAACCUACGCUUCAUGAGCAUUUUCAGGUUCAAGGUGUGGUGGACUACACAUUUGGUGGGCCGCAAUGGGCGGGACGUGGAGCACGAGACUCAGAUGAUGAUCCUGGACAAGAAUGAUACAGGACGACCCUAUGUCUUGUUACUUCCCCUCCUGGAAGGACAGUUCCGCGCUUCCCUCCAGCCCGGGGAGAAUGACAAUUUGGACAUCUGCGUUGAGAGCGGGUCGACUCGUGUGCUCGGAUCCAGCUUCCGGAGCUGCCUCUAUAUGCAAGCCGGUGACGAUCCGUUCGGUCUAGUCCGGGAGGCAAUGAAGGAAGUCAGGGUCCACUUGGGGUCAUUUAAGCUCCUUGAAGAGAAAACUCCUCCAGGCAUAGUGGAUAAAUUCGGGUGGUGCACUUGGGACGCAUUUUACCUGAAGGUGGACCCUCGAGGAGUCUGGGAAGGGGUGAAGGGCCUAGUCGAGGGCGGGUGCCCUCCGGGGAUGGUCCUGAUCGACGACGGAUGGCAGUCGAUAUGCCACGACGAUGACCCAAUAUCGGACCAGGAAGGGGUGAACCGGACGGCUGCAGGAGAGCAGAUGCCCUGCAGGCUCGUCCGGUUCGAGGAGAACUACAAGUUCCGGGACUACAGGAGCCCCCGGCAACCCGGCGCCAAGGGCAUGGGAGACUUCAUCAGGGACCUGAAGGAGGAGUUUGGGAGCGUGGAGCACGUGUACGUGUGGCACGCGCUGUGCGGCUACUGGGGCGGGGUGAGGCCAGACGUGCCGGGCAUGCCCGAGUCGAAGGUGAUCAGGCCGAGGCUGUCCCCGGGGCUCGAGAAGACCAUGGAGGAUCUAGCAGUGGAUAAGAUAGUGAAUAGUGGGAUCGGGUUGGUCCCACCGGAGGAGGUGCAGGAAAUGUACGAGAGACUGCACGCACAUCUGCAGUCCGUCGGCAUUGAUGGCGUAAAGGUCGAUGUGAUCCAUUUGCUUGAGAUGCUAUGUGAGGAUUUCGGUGGUCGAGUGGAGCUUGCUAAAGCCUAUUAUAAGGCACUCACUACCUCAGUUAGGAAGCAUUUCAAUGGCAACGGUGUGAUUGCUAGCAUGGAACAUUGCAAUGACUUCAUGCUCCUCGGCACGGAGGCCAUUUCUCUUGGUCGUGUUGGUGAUGAUUUCUGGUGCACGGACCCGCAGGGAGUCCCGGACGGUACGUACUGGCUUCAGGGCUGCCACAUGGUGCAUUGCGCCUAUAACAGCCUGUGGAUGGUCAACUUCAUACACCCAGACUGGGACAUGUUCCAGUCCACUCACCCUUGUGCGGAAUUCCAUGCUGCCUCGAGGGCUAUCUCUGGUGGGCCGAUCUAUGUAAGCGACUGUGUCGGCAAACAUGAUUUCAAGUUGCUCAGGAGUUUGGUCUUGCCCGACGGUUCCAUCCUGAGAUGCCAAUUCUAUGCACUUCCCACUAGAGAUUGCCUCUUCGAAGACCCUUUACACGAUGGCAAAACAAUGCUCAAGAUAUGGAACGUUAAUAAGUACACAGGAGUCCUAGGACUUUUCAACUGCCAAGGAGGGGGAUGGUGUCGCGAAACCCGAAAGAACCGGAGCUUCUCCGAAUUCUCACAUGCUGUUUCUUACACCGCAAGUCCUAAUGACAUCGAAUGGAACAACACGAGCAGCCCAGUCUCUCUCAAGGAUGCUCAAAUUUUCGCGGUCUACAUGUUCAAAGAACAGAAGGUGAGGCUCCUGAAGUCUCAGGACCGCCUUGAGGUCUCUCUCGAACCGUUCAAUUACGAGCUUCUAACAGUCUCUCCUGUGAAUGAGGUAAACUCCAUUCAAUUUGCUGUGAUUGGGCUGGUGAACAUGCUCAACACCGGCGGAGCAGUCCAGUCAAUGGAGUUCGAUGAAGAGGCAGGCUCCGUGAGGGUUGGGGUUCGGGGAAGUGGAGAGAUGAGUGUUUUCACAUCAGAGAAGCCGAGAAGUUGUAAGAUUAAUGGGGCAGAGGUGAAGUUUCGAUAUGCUGACCAAAUGGUGGAAGUUCAAGUGCCAUGGGCCGGCUCCAAGGAGGUGUCUGUGAUUGAGUACUUGUUUUGAUCCAUAAGGGAUAUGUAGUCCAUUUGCUUUGUAAUAUAGAUGCCACAAUCUUUAAAAGAAUUCUUCUAGACAGGUUUUACAAGUUCAUCAGUGGUGGCAUCUGUUCCAGCCAUGUGAAUUUGCAAAUAUGUGUAGGAAGAGCUAUGGAUGGAAUCUUCACUUCUGCAAGCGGGUUCCUGGGUUUAUAACUGGAAGGAAUCGAACCAAACAUGUGGUUCAAGAUGAGACAUCAAAACCGAAUAAGCGGCACUAAGUGAGAUAUCAUAGAUGGUUUUCCGUAUACCGAUGCAUUGCUGCCUCUUAUCUCUUCUGCUAUCGCAUUUAGUGCACUCUUACUUGGUCUUUCUAUUCAUGUAGAUACAUGCUUGCUUCUCUUUGCAACUGGUAAACACCAAGGAGUUUGUCUUUAAGACGGAGGGCCUUGACCUGAUUAAGGUCCCGGUUGUCGUGGAACCAUGCCUUAAAGAUUGUCCAGGAAUUACUCCUAAUUGUCCUCUCAUUGUUUGGACCCCUCCCUUCUUUAUGCGUUUGUCUAUGUUGUCAUGAUCUCUUGCUGUUAAUUCCCAAUACAGAUAUAUAAUAUUCCCUAAAUACAGAAUCAUAUAUUAUAAUUUCUAAUACAUGCUUG